AAUCGGUGUGUAACCUUAACUAAGUAUAUACAUACUAAGUGUGUAAUAUAUAUUUAUAAAAUAUAAUAUACUGCUAUAAAAACAUACUAAAUAUAAAUAGAAAAAACUAACUAACAUAACAACAUUCUGAACGAAUGUGAAUGGAAGUGACACUUGACGUGCUUCACAAAAUUCUAUAAUUAGCUAUGGUCAAAGCCGUUCACCAAUGACCAUACACACACAAUGCAAACUAUUUACGAAUUACGUAAUGGCGACGAGUGCUUAUCAACAAUUAUUAUGCAAGGCAUCAUUGUGUUCAAAUUGUGGAAAUGAGUGUCUGAAAUGGUGUUAUGAAAGAAAAAUAAAAUAAAAUAACGUAUUAAGUGUGAACGAGUAUGCAGGUCGAUCGUAAUCCUGCUACCAGGAUGGCGUAGACAAAAAUAGAGGAAAUGACAGAGAGAUGAGGAAAAUAAGUUUGACCAGAGCAGAUGCUCCUCCAUACCGAAGAGAAUGAUUCAAAAGCAGCCCACACCGCAGGAAGUGAUCCCCAAACCAAAGCAUGUGUGCCAUGAAACCUGAGGCAUCGAAAUGGGGGAGGGAGAUCAUUCCAGCAGCGCGUGGCUGCAAACUUGAAGCAUCCUCUGAAAGCCGUAGUGCGAUGCGUGGGAACGGUCAGCGGACACACUAUGGAGCGAAGACCAUGCUUUAUCUGGCUUUGUUUCCAGGUCAGCUUUUUGAAAAGAUAUUCUGGUGUUUGAGCCCUAACAGUACCAAACAACAGAUUGGCCAAAUGAAGUUUUCUCCUGGCAGCCAUCUUUAAUAGUUUUAGUUCAUUAAUGUAUGGGGUAACAUGACUUCUACGUGGAAUAUUUAUACAAUAACGAACACAGGCAUUUUGAAUACGUUGGAUAACGCGCUCGGUUCUAGAGAGAAGACAUGGACCAUACACUAUAUCACAAUAGUUUAACUUCGAUAGGACGAGGCUGUCAACAAGUUGUUUGCGCAAAGGAAUGCUCAAAUAUUUCCGUAUACCAUAUAAUACCUUUAGCCUAUAAAAACAACUUCCUAGGAUUCUUGUUAUGUGUGACUCGAAGCGUAGCUCCGGGUCCAUAGUCAGGCCCAGAUUGCAUGCUUGCUCAACCCUCUCGAUUCUCUCUCCCAUGAUCACUAUCUCAGGGUUAGCUGACUGAAUAGCUAGAACUUGGUUUCUGGAACCCAGAAUCAUAAAUUUAGAUUUGAGCGGGUUAAGGACCAGUGAGUUCAUCUCCGACCAUACAACCACCCUAUGCAAAUCCUCAUUGAUUUUCUGCACCGCCUCCGAUGUUUCAUCGACCUUGAACGACAAGUACAGCUGUAUAUCGUCAGCGUACAUGUGAUAUUUGCAAUGGGUGAAA
rnacentral:lncRNA from 1 species